AGUGAACGCUGGCGGUAGGCCUAACACAUGCAAGUCGAACGGCAGCACAGUAAGAUCUUGCUCUUACGGGUGGCGAGUGGCGGACGGGUGAGGAAUACAUCGGAAUCUACUUUUUCGUGGGGGAUAACGUAGGGAAACUUACGCUAAUACCGCAUACGACCUACGGGUGAAAGCAGGGGAUCUUCGGACCUUGCGCGAUUGAAUGAGCCGAUGUCGGAUUAGCUAGUUGGCGGGGUAACGGCCCACCAAGGCGACGAUCCGUAGCUGGUCUGAGAGGAUGAUCAGCCACACUGGAACUGAGACACGGUCCAGACUCCUACGGGAGGCAGCAGUGGGGAAUAUUGGACAAUGGGCGCAAGCCUGAUCCAGCAAUACCGCGUGGGUGAAGAAGGCCUUCGGGUUGUAAAGCCCUUUUGUUGGGAAAGAAAAGCAGCAGGUUAAUACCCCGCUGUUCUGACGGUACCCAAAGAAUAAGCACCGGCUAACUUCGUG
rnacentral:rRNA from 1 species